rnacentral:piRNA from 1 species
UGAGACGUGGAUAUGUCAACCCUCC